rnacentral:snRNA from 1 species
GCAACAGAGAUUAGCAUGGCCCCUGUGCAAGGAUGACACACAAAUUCAUGAAGUCUUCCAUAUUGGG